rnacentral:lncRNA from 1 species
UUUUUUUUUUUUUUUGCCUCUUCUAACAGUGAAAGUGCUUUCAAACAAACUCUCCGAUGAAACCCUAUAUAUGGAACAGGCGAAUGUGGAGCUGCUGUUACUGUAUGCAACCUGAACAACGAGAUGCAGUGCCCUGGGUAGGUGUCCUGCUUGCGUGGUCUCUCCCUCAUUUCCCUCUCACAGUAGAUGCUUCUUAAACACAUCUUCUAAUUUUCUUGUCCCCAUCUCUUAUUCCACCCACAGCAGUGGCAAUCAGUUUCAUACAGGGUCUAACCAGCCUUACAGAAGUGUGAGCUGACUGUCCCCACCGCAGCCCCACCUCUCCCUUCUGCCCUGGAAUUUCUCUAGUCCUCUGGUGCAGGACAGCCUUAUAAAUAACCCAUUGUCAUCCAUGCACACAACCCAGAACAGGGAAGUAAUCUUUAAGGUAUAUAAAUGAAGGUUCUGAGAGUAGAAAUUUACAUGGGCCAUUGUCACAGUCAAAUCGAUAGUUGUGGAAAACAAAGUGUGGCAGUCCUUGACCAAAAGGAGUUGAGAAUUGAGGGGCAAAUGCAGCUCCCUUUCCUGUCCCAGGCAGAUGGUCCUAAUAUGCAUUUCAUAAGCUUCUCAGCUGUCCCAUAGAAUCAAACGUGCAGGUGGCUGUAGCAUUGGCUGGCUAACUCCAUAACGCAUGCCUCCAUUGAUUUUCCAAUGAGUUUUUCACCAUUCACUUUUUCAUCCCUCAUUCCUGCUCCCUGGAGUCACACUGCCAAAAAACUACUUAGCCUUAUUCCUCUAUGUCAGGUUUUGUUUUCUAAGGUGGCAUCCUGUAACAUCUCCUAACUUGGGAAAAGCACUUCCAAGGUACUCCAAAGUUUCUUCUUGGUUUGAAAUGAUUGCUUUGGAAUCAAAUUAUGUUGAGAUAGUUAGAAGAGAUAUCUUGACUGAAGAACAGCUAAUUAUUCUCAGCGCUGAGCAGGCAAUUUGCAUUUAAUGUAUAUAAGUGAAAGCUCUGAGAGUAGAAAUUUAAAUGGGCCAUUGUCAUGGCCAAAUCGAUCCGUGUGGAAAACAAAGUGAAUUUUUAGUGGAGUGGUAUAAAAGCUCUAGCCCCUUGGAGAGUCUGUUUGGUCUGAUUUGGAGUUUUGCCUUUAAUAACAAAUGAAAGUACAGAUUUAGGUCUCUAGGGCUUUCUAUCUCCACAGCCUCUGGAUGUUUAAAAACACACACCAUUAGCACUUGCCUCAUCUUUCCUAAACUGGCGGUUGUCACGGUUCAUUUAAAGAAGUACAACAGUUCCUCGGAAGAUAGCAGCCACCUCCCACACCCCUACACCCCCAGACACCCAGGAUACAUCUUGUGUAUACUUAAGCUGUCUCUGACACACAUAAUUUCUUUUUCAACCCUGAGUAAUCAGUCGUUUUUGUACCCUUAGUAAAGAGAACACUGUAUUUUUGUACAGAAAAGGUGGAGAGGAAAGGAAAAUAGAAGAAAGACCCCUUUCCUCCCGAAAUUUCAGUGCAAAUUCCCACAAAAUAGCAACAAAUAAAAGAUAGAAAGGAAAAAAAAAACCACAGAAGUGUCCAGAAUAAGGGUGUUUGUCAAGUGCUAAUUGAGGAUCCAGUUUUAUUUGUACAUUUUGAAAUGUUUUCUUUCAAAUUCUGGGUAUUUAGGGGUUAAUGAUGUGGCUGAAACCCUGUUGCUUUGAAUAGGAGGGAUUAGUUUUGUUGUUUCAGGAUUAAGGUCAGUCUUAUCAACAGGCUGUCAGCAGCCACCCUCAGCCCUACCU